rnacentral:rRNA from 1 species
UAGAAGCACUCACCAUUUAAACGAUUCCUAUGAGCUCACUAGUCGCGUGACUCUGCGCCUAAAAUGCUCAGGGGCUGAUUACACUACCGAAGCUGCGGACUGAUACCAAUGGUACCAGUGGUAGGGGAGCGUUUUGAGGACGGUGAAGUCAGACCGGAAGGACUGGUGGACUGCUUAGAACUGAGAAUGCCGGUAUGAGUAGCGAAAGACGGGUGAGAAUCCCGUCCACCGAAUGCCUAAGGUUUCCUGCGGAAGGCUCGUCCGCUCAGGGUUAGUCAGGACCUAAGCCGAGCCCGACAGGCGUGGGCGAUGGUCAACAGGUUGAUAUUCCUGUAUCAUCUCUGUAUCGUUCGAGCAAUGGAGGGACGAAAAAGGAGAGCAAAAGCGUGCGUUUGGUUGCUCAUGUCAAAGCAGUUAGGCGGAGAAGUAGGCAAAUCAGCUUCUCGUAAAGGCUGAGCUGUGAAGGGCAAGC